rnacentral:lncRNA from 10 species
CCAGGAGUGACCCUCGGCGCUGCCUUAGCCAGGACGCAGGUAGAAACAGAGUUAGAUAAAAAAAGGACUUGUCUCGGAGCAUGAUUUCUGAAAAUAGUGGAAUCGAGUUUGAAUCUAGAUGCAUGUCCUCCAAGAAGCAGAAUCAAAAUAUAAAUAAAAGACUGGCUUAAGAUGAAAGGAAACCUUACAAACGAAAAGAAGCCAGAUGAGAGGCACUUAACUGAGAAUGAAAAGAAACUGAGUGGACAAAAUAAUUAUGAGAAGAUGAACCUUCAAAUCGGAAAGAGGGCAAAAAGCUUAUUUGAUACUAUGGGAACUCAAAAGAGAGUGAACACAAAUGUGAAAAUUCCAGGAGUAAAGAAAAGUAGCAUAGCUAAAUUAAGAGCAUGAGAAAAUGUAUACAAUUUUGAGUAAUAACAGAAAUCAAAAGUAACUGUUGUAUGUUAUAUUUUAGUAGAGCAACACUGAAGAAGAAUGAAAACAAGAAAUAAUAUUAAAUAUGAACAUAUGGAGAACAGAAUAAUAUUUUUAAAAUUUUUAGUUUCUAAGCUAAUCUGAAAUUUUAAUUUUGUUUUCUUAUGUAAUACCAGAGUUAUUAGGAAGGUAUUAUCUAAUAACACUAUUUUCAGUGAUAUUUUAAGGAGUUGUCCUAGAAAAAUUUUAUUUUUUAAAAAUGUACAUUUAAAAAUACAUUAAAUGUGUAUAUACAUCAAUCAUAUGUAUCGAUUUCUGUUUUUCUUGAAUUGCAAAUGAAAUUUGUAUUUUUGUGUUCCUGGAAUAAAAUAAACUUGAAUGGAUUGUAAUAUGUUAUUCAUGCUGCAAUUCAAUGUAUUUGAAUACUUUAAAAAUGUUACAUUUAUAGUUAACAGAUACUGACCUAUAAAUUUUCUGUCAUGUAAUGAUGCUGUGAGACAAUCUAAGAAGAAUUAAAAUUUAAAUUCAUAUAUUCCUACUUUUUUCUCUGUUCUCUAACUGUAAUAUAUUUUAAUUACAGAUGGAGGAACAGAUAGAUGUUAGAUAGAUACAUAAAUAAUAGAUAGAUCAUCCAAAAUUCUUAUUCUGAUGGUUUUAUGUAGUCAGUAUUUACCUCUAUUUUUCUACAUGUUUAUCCUUCCAAUUUAGUUCAUUACUUUCUGCACCUUUGAUGUCAUAUAUAUAAACAGGAAAUAACACAUGGUGGCUGGGAUGUAGAGAGAGCCACAGGACUUGUGAAUAAAAUCCACAGGCAAGGAUGUGGAGAUUCCUUUUGCAAUAUUGGAGGGAAUGCCAAACCCUAUGUUUGCUGUGGAAAAGAGUAGGUAUUUCCUCAAAACAUCAAAAUGGUAUUGCCUUAUGAUUCGGCAGCCCCACAUCUCAAGAUAGCAAAAGAAUUGAAAGCAGAGUCUUGAAAAAAUAUUUGCACAUCCAUGUUUGCAGCAGCAUUAUUGGCAAUAGCUAAAACGUAGAAGCAAUUGAAGUGUUCAACCACAGAUGAAUGGAUAAGCAAAACAUGAUAUAUACAUACAAUGGAAAAUUAUUCAGCCUUAAACAUGAGGGAAAUAUUCUGACAUAUGUUGCAACUUGGAUGAAACUUGAGGAUAUUAUGCCAAGUGAAAUAAGCUAGUCAGUGAGGGACAAAUACAGUAUAAUUCCAUUUGUAUAAGAGACUUAAAGUGGACAGAAUCAUAGAGAUAGUACAAUGAUGAUUGCCAGAAGCUGGGGGGAGGAAGACAUGGGGAAGUACUGUUUAACGGGUACAGAGUUUCAGUUUCACAAGAUGAAACGAGUUAUGGAGAUGGAUGGUAGGGAUGGCUGCACAAUGUUAUGACUCUAUUUAGUACCACUGAACUGUACACUUAAAAUGGUUAACAGAGUACAUUUUAUGUUAUGUGUAUUUUACCACAAUAAAAAAAUAAAAUACCUUAGGAACAUUUUCCUGAAAGAGUCCACAUAAAAUUCAUUUUAAUGCAUGUGUUUAUGCAUAGCUUUUUAUUUUUCUCUUUUCUAUUUAUAUUCCAAAUUAGAAUAUAAUGCUAAUCAAGCAUAGUGGCUGUGUUUCUUGCUUCCUCUAGUCUGCAGGUAGCAUACAAAUGUAAUAAACUACUCAUUAAUGUCACAUCUAUUUAUUUUCUGCCUUAUACCAAGCUUGUGGGAUUCUCUUAAAUACAACAUUUUAAUACUUACACCUAUGCAAUACCCAUUAGCAUCGCCUUCCUAAAUCAGGGGAAAUUGAGUCUCUGUAAGCUGCAGUAACUUACUAAGAUACAAAACUCAGCAUAAAAGGCAGUAAAGACACAUGAGAAGAGGGCAGGAUAUUGAAGUAUACAGACUUCAAUGCUGAGUUUUAUAUCUUAGGGAGUUACUCCACCUUACAGAGGCUCAAUUUCCCCUGAUUUAGGAAGGCGAUGCUAAUGGGUAUUGCAUAGGUGUAAGUAUAAAAAUGUUGUAUUGAAGAGAAUCCCACAAGCUUGGUAUAAGGCCGAAAAUAAAUUGAUGUGACAUGAAUAAGUAGUUUAUUACAUUUGUAUGCUACCUGCAGACUAGAGGAAGCAAGAAACACAGCCACUAUGCUUGAUUAGCAUUAUAGGGAUGGUACAAUGAUUGUUGCCAGAAGCUGGAGGGAGGAAGAAAUGGGGAAGUAUUGUUUAAUGGGUAUAGAGUUUCAGUUUUACAAGAUGAAACGAAUUAUGGAGAUGGAUGGUAGGGACGGCUGCACAAUGUUAUGACUAUAUUUAGUACCACUGAACUGUACACUUAAAAUGGUUAACCGAGUACAUUUUAUGUUAUGUGUAUUUUACCACAAUAAAAAAAUAAAAUACCUUAGGAACAUUUUCAUGAAAAAGCCCACAUAAAAUUCAUUUUAAUGCACGUGUUUAUGCAUAGCUUUCUAUUUUUCUCUUUUCCCUUUACAUUCCUAAUUCUAAUCAGAGAAGGGAAUCCCCUCUGUACCUCCAGGAUAUUCAGUAAAGACCACUGGAGGUUCAUGCCCUAGUGACAGUGCUCAUUUAGCUCCAAAUUACAGAUGGCUCUAGACUAACUCAACAAAGCUUAAAGAGAAGAUUUAAAACAACAACAGACAAAUACUCAUCCUGAAGUUACUGAACUGCCUGCCACAACAUUGUUCAAAGGUAGCCAAUCAAAUCUAGAUAUUCAAUAGCAUAACAUCAAAAUACCCAAAAAAAACUCUGAAAUGCAAAGAAGCCGUAAGAUAUAUAUAAUUAAGAUAUAUAUUAACAGGAUAAAAAUAAGUCAUUUAUAAAUGACAAAAAAGAAGGAAAUUUCAAGGUUCUUAAAGUAAAUAUAUUUUAUAAAUACAUAUAGAUAAAUACAUAUAUAUGUCAAGGUACUUAAAUGAAAAUUAAACAUAGGAGAAAAAUAGAAGUUAUAAAAUGAAAAAGUGACAUAUAUAGAUGAAAAAUAAAUAUUUGAAAUAAAAAUUCCAUGACAUAGAAUAAGUAAUGGAUUUUACCCUAACAUCAGAAAAUUUAUAGAACAAAUUAGAAGCAUUACAAACUAAAGGACAAAUGGUAAACUAAAAUAAGAAAACCAGAAACUCACUGAUACGUCAGACAAUAUGCAUCAGUGUAACAUACAUGUAAUCAACAUCUCAAAAAGGAUGGGUGGGGUAAUUAUAGGUGAAUAAAGAAUGGUACACUCAUUCCUGAGGGCACCGAGGAGGGAGGAUAGCUUUAGAUUUCUAAGGGAGGGUAUUAUCCAUUCAUGAAGGUCCAACCCCAUGACCAAACACCUCCCAGUGAGCCCCACCUGCAACAUUGGGGAUCAAAUUUUAACAUGAGUUUGGAAGGGGCAAGCAUUCAAACCAUAGCAAGAGUUAAAUUUCCUUUUUAAGAAAAUCACUGAUAUGAUUCCACUUCGCCAUAGAUAAAAACUAGUAUUUCAGCCUACCGUUGAGUGUGCUUAUAGCUCACCAAAAGGGCACUCUGUCUCGGGAAUACAGAUUUGCCUACAGGUAUCCUAUUGCAGUCAAAGAAAGAGCAAUGAGGGAUAGAAAAGGUUAGUGAUGGAGACACCAGCGCUGCAUUUUGCAACAAACAAUGUAAAAACUUUACGGAUUGGUUCUGCUAACUUACUACAGUUUACAUGCCUCUCAGGUGGGAGAAUUGUUGCGUUUUUUCUUAAGAUAGAAAAGCAAUUCAGAUAAUCUGAAAUCUCCACAAGAAGGAUAAGAAGCACAGCAGAAACUAUUCUAGGCAGGAAGUCAAUCCUUUCAACUGUCUGUGCUCCAUAGAAACAAUUGUCUGCACUGGGAGUCAUAUGAGGUACAGACAACAGCCAGACUUCUGAUCCUCUCAUUAGUGAUUUCAGAAGAAAUUACCAGUCAACUGAGUAACUCACUGAGUAUAGUAAACAUUUGGCACUGAAAGAGGUUAGACGGAUAACUAUUUGUAUCACCAUAUUCAUGAAGCUGGAAUAUUUUCCAUUACUGGUAUCACAUCCGAAUGGAAGAUGUUAAAAGGUCUCUCAUCAUGUAAGAUAGAUAUGAAAGAACAUUUUCUGAGAAAUGAAAUUAUUAACACACCUGUGAGGUGCAUGGAAGAGAAAAAAAGAAUAAUCACCUUGAGUUCUUCUCCUUGAUAAGAGAACUCACUAAAAACAUAAAGAGAAAAAUACAAGUUUAAAAUAAUUAACCAGAAGAAGACGACUCUAGAGAUUUUAAAUUGCUGAUAAGAUUUUAAUUUGCUCCAAGUUGAAAAUAAUUAUAUUGCUUGUGUUUUAAGGCACAUAAUGAGCAAUUAUAUCACACAUGAUAGUUUCAGCAGUAAAAUAUGAUCCG